UACGAAGGGGGCUAGCGUUGCUCGGAAUUACUGGGCGUAAAGGGCGCGUAGGCGGGUCGUUUAGUUAGAGGUGAAAGCCCAGGGCUCAACCCUGGAAUUGCCUUUAAUACUGGCGGCCUUGAGUAUGGCAGAGGUGUGUGGAACUCCGAGUGUAGAGGUGAAAUUCGUAGAUAUUCGGAAGAACACCAAUAGCGAAGGCAGCUCGCUGGGACGGUACUGACGCUAAGGCGCGAAAGCGUGGGGAGCGAACAGG
rnacentral:rRNA from 1 species